CUACGGGUCGCUGCAGUGGGGAAUAUUGGGCAAUGGGCGCAAGCCUGACCCAGCAACGCCGCGUGAGGGAAGAAUGUCUUCGGAUUGUAAACCUCUGUCCUUGGGGACGAAAAAAAUGACGGUACCCAAGGAGGAAGCUCCGGCUAACUACGUGCCAGCAGCCGCGGUAAUACGUAGGGAGCAAGCUGUUGUCCGGAAUUAUUGGGCGUAAAGGGUGCGUAGGCGGCGCUGUAAGUCAGAUGUGAAAUCCCCGGGCUUAACUCGGGAGUUGCAUUUGAAACUACAGUGCUUGAGUAAAGAAGGGGUAAGUGGAAUUCCUAGUGUAGCGGUGGAAUGCGUAGAUAUUAGGAGGAACACCAGUGGCGAAGGCGACUUACUGGUCUUUUACUGACGCUGAGGCACGAAAGCGUGGGGAGCAAACAGGAUUAGAUACCCCCGUAGUC
rnacentral:rRNA from 1 species